rnacentral:rRNA from 1 species
GAUGAACGCUAGCUACAGGCUUAACACAUGCAAGUCGAGGGGCAUCACAGUGUAGCAAUACACGGGUGGCGACCGGCGCACGGGUGCGUAACACGUAUCCAAUCUGCCCGUUACUCGGGGAUAGCCUUCUGAAAGGAAGAUUAAUACCCGAUGGCAUGUAUUUCCGGCAUCGGAGAUACAUUAAAGAUUUAUCGGUAACGGAUGAGGAUGCGUACGAUUAGCUGGUUGGCGGGGUAACGGCCCACCAAGGCAACGAUGGAUAGGGGUUCUGAGAGGAAGGUCCCCCACACUGGAACUGAGACACGGUCCAGACUCCUACGGGAGGCAGCAGUGAGGAAUAUUGGUCAAUGGGCGUAAGCCUGAACCAGCCAAGUAGCGUGAAGGAAGACUGCCCUACGGGUUGUAAACUUCUUUUAUACGGGAACAAACCCCGGUACGUGUACCGGAUUGCGUGUACCGUAUGAAUAAGCAUCGGCUAACUCCGUG